rnacentral:rRNA from 1 species
UACGGGGGGGGCAAGCGUUGUUCGGAAUUACUGGGCGUAAAGGGCUCGUAGGUGGCCAACUAAGUCAGACGUGAAAUCCCUCGGCUUAACCGGGGAACUGCGUCUGAUACUGGAUGGCUUGAGUUCGGGAGAGGGAUGCGGAAUUCCAGGUGUAGCGGUGAAAUGCGUAGAUAUCUGGAGGAACACCGGUGGCGAAGGCGGCAUCCUGGACCGACACUGACACUGAGGAGCGAAAGCGUGGGGAGCGAUCCGG